UUUAAAGAGAGUUUGAUCCUGGCUCAGGACGAACGCUGGCGGCGUGCCUAAUACAUGCAAGUCGAACGAACGGAGGAAGAGCUUGCUCUUCCAAAGUUAGUGGCGGACGGGUGAGUAACACGUGGGCAACCUGCCUGUAAGUUGGGGA
rnacentral:rRNA from 2 species